rnacentral:misc_RNA from 1 species
GAUGAAGAACGUAGCGAAAUGCGAUACGUAAUGUGAAUUGCAGAAUUCAGUGAAUCAUCGAAUCUUUGAACGCAUAUUGCGCUCUCUGGUAUUCCGGAGAGCAUGCUUGUUUGAGUAUCAGUAAACACCUCAACUUCCAUAUCUUUUUUUGAAAUGGGAGUUGGACUUGAGUGAUCCCAACACUUUUCCUCACCGAAAAGUGGCUGGUUACUUGAAAUGCAGGUGCAGCUGGACUUUUCUCUGAGCUAUAAGCAUAUCUAUUUAGUCUGCCUAAAAAACAGAUUAUUACCUUUGCUGCAGCUAACAUAAAGGAGAUUAGUUCUUGUGCUGACUGAUGCAGGAUUCACAAAGACAGCUUCGGCCGACUUUGUAAACUCGAUCUCAAAUCAAGUAAGACUACCCGCUGAACUUAAGCAUAUCAAUAAGCGGAGGA